GUCAUCUGCGGCUACGGCUUCAGGUGCGUGUCCUUGUUAUACUUCAAGGGAGAGGUAAUCCUUCGCCAUGUUGAGAAACGGCGUAAAAACAGUGACUGAG
rfam:Faecalibacterium prausnitzii strain 2789STDY5608869 genome assembly, contig: SCcontig000002